UCAACUCAAUGAAAAUGGUUUUUUUUUUUUUUUGGUAUAAAGGAUUAUCAGUAAUAGGAAUACCCACUUUCACCAAACUGGUGAAUACCUGUGUAUUUUUGCUGCUCCUCCUUCUGCCAUGAGCAUUUUGAAUUAACAGGCUGAUUUUCUAAUGCUCAUUAUGGCAUUAGAUUCCAUCAUAAAGUGUGUGUUUCCUUGACCAUGCCUUUUCUUGUCUUUCACAACCAGCUUCUUUUAAAGGCGGGAAUAGCAAUUAUACAGCUGUGCACUGAGGAUUCCCAGGUGACUGCAGCCAAGACUGAAUUCAGGCCACCCAGCUACUGACCAGAAGCUUUGCCAGCUUAGCUACUUGACCACCUGCUUCUGUUUUUCUGGUCUGCUUGCAAAUGGAGGGAGUUUGUUCUUCUGCCAUCAACAUCAAUUUCAAAGAGUUCCUUGGAAGAACUUGGAAGGGGGAGGGCCUGGGUGAUGGAAGUGGUUUGCGAGUGGUUCUAAAGGUAUCGUGGAAGAAAAGCCAUGGUGAUCUGCUUCCAUUAAGAUUACAGCCAAAGAAAACUCUGUGGAGCAAUUCUCCUCUCUAACACAUGGGGUCAUCAUGAGUUGGGCGACUCUGUGGCACUCAACAACAACACAAGGUAGAGAAGUAUGUAGUUCAUUUUGGGAAAGUUUCUUUUAAAAUCAGGUAAAGUUUGGGCAUUGUAGAUUGGAUUCUGUUAGUUGCAAGGGAUAAAAACCCACCUCAAAAAGUAGGCUCAUGAAACCAGCUGUCCAAGUGCAAACCUGGCUUUGGGCAAAGCAGGAGCCAGGUGAUGAAUGAAUUUCUUAGGGCUCUGUCUCUCUGGCCCCACCUCUACAUGGUUGGGACUUCAGGAUAAAAAAGAAAAAGAAACCCUCUUCUUCCCAACGUCUGUACACAAAAUUAAGAGGACUCAGGUCCUUCUUGGUUCUUAUACUCACUUCUAGAUGUACUGCUCUAUUGGGGGAUGAUGGCUGUGAUUGGUGUAGCCUGGGUCACGUGUUACAUCUGAGGCAAGGAGGGCUGGGAUACCAUGAGUGCUGGCCCAGUCAGGGCUGCACAGAGUGGAGGAGGGGAGGUUCCUCUAGGGCAGUAGUCUGGCAGACAGAGACCACACUCCUACUCCAGGCAAAUGAAUGGCAGAGUGUUUGUUAUUCAGGAAGCCACUCCUCCAGGGCUCCACUCUCUUGAUGCCAGAUAAAUGAGCUUUCACACUAUUUGGAGUUAAUUAUUCUCUUUGGGAACAUGCAAAAUAAAAUUGUGAUGCGUUUUUAAAUUGACUUAUACUAUCCUUUGGUUUGUUUUUUUUUUCUUUUUAAAUCACAUUUUUUAUACUUAACUAUAAUGGAAAGUGAAAUCUUUUUUCACCAGCUUUUUAACAACCAUAGUAGUAAUAAUGUACCCUCAUUUCUUCCCUCUGAAUGUUAAGAUCUUGGAAAGUCAAAACCAAUCUAGAUGGGGAAUAAACCAAAAAACCAAACCCGUUGCCGUUGAAUCGAUUCUGACUCAUAGUCAUAGCGACCCUGUAGGACAGAGUAGAACUGCUCCCUAAGGUUUCCAAGGAGCGUCUGGGGGAUUUGAACUGCCAACCUUUUCGUUAAUAGCUGUAGUUCUUAACCAUUACGCCACCAGGGUUUCCAGAUGGAGAAUAGCAACUGUGAAUUCAGAAUACUUAUAGUUAGGAUGCUUAGGAUGAAGGCUCUUUGUCAUCCUUAACUUACAGUCAUUGUGGAAAAAAUUACUUUGGCAUAAAGGUCCUCCAGUUUUGUUAUGCUACAUUAACCGAGGUGUGUAAAUGUCAUAAGCAAACUAUUGAUAUUGCUUAAGCGGUCCAGAGAGAUUGUUCCAGAGUUCGAGUUGUAAUCCCUAGGAGAGCUUAACUUACCUUCCUCCAUAAAUAUAGCAUCCCUUAUAGCAUGUAAAUUAACCCAACCUCUCUACACAGUUAGCAUGGACUGCAUUUUGUUUUACCCUAAAGGAUUUUUGUGCUUGAAUUUGAAAUGCAAAAUUAAUAAACUAUUUUUGUGUUUCACAGGUUAAUAUUAUGUUAAAGACAGAUCCAGGAUUAAAGCAAAAUCCUAUGACUCCCCUUUCUAGUCUAAUAGGAAUUUAUGGAAAAUGUACCCUUCUGUUAGGUUUUCCAUGCCAGACGUGAAAGAUGUCUUUAGCUUUCCUUUCUGUUACGGUGUGCCUUGCAGAGUGUUUCUUGCCACUAGCCACCAUGUAACAUGGUGCAGUGAAAGAAAUUUUCUUACUUGGAUUCUGCAGUAGGUAUGUGUCCUAUUCCAUUUUCUAAACAAGUACAGUGAGUUUAUAGUCCACAGAGGUGUUUUCUCAGCUGUUCUUCUAACAAAUAUGUUUAACAUUCUAUGAGUCUUUAUGUAUGUGAAAUAUUUGAAGACUAGCUAGUCAUUACCAGGUAGACAUCAUAAUGGUAAAGGAAAUUCACCGCUGAUAAGCUUUUCUGUAUGUCUGCUUUUAAAGGUGAUUUUAAAUUAUGAAAAUCUUACGACUCACUUGAGUUGUUAGUUCUGUCACCCUGAAAAUCUUAGUUAAGUGUCUACACUGGAGUACAAAGCACUGUGCAGGAUCACACUGGUGAUCCUAAUGAUGGACCUUGGUCCUACUUUGCAGAGCCCAGAGUCCACAUUAACCUGUGAAAAUAUUUGGUGAGCCUGGAUUCUCAGGAAAAAGUUGGGAAAUGUCAACGGAUGAAUGCAGUGAAGGAUUCUUUCACCGAGGUAGUAGUUAGCACAAGUAAAUGCUUUUAAAACAGAUAAGUGUAUGGAAAGCUAAAGUUCAGCAGUUUAAUUCUUUGCUAAAGGAACAUUCGGUUGUUUCUCCUGCUGUGGCCACUGCCCUCUGGCUGGGGAAAUGGUGGUGCCUAUUUAAGGUGACCACCUAGUGCUGCUCGGAAGAUUUCUGUGUGACCUCUGACUGCCACCUUCAGAUUCUUGAUGAUUUACUAAGGAAAUUAAGAUGCGUUUCAGAGAGACUGGGCAGGUGGCACAGCGGUUAAGAGUUUGGCUGCUAACUAAAAGGUCAGCAGUUUGAAUCCACCAGCCGUUCCCUGGAAACCCUAAGGAGGCAGUUCUACUCUCUCCGAUAGGGUUGCUAUGAGUUGGAAUUGACUCCACGGCAAGGGGUUAGGGUUUUUGGGCAGGUUUGGUAGACUUCCUUUGUCCUGUCUGCUCCCUUCCUGUUUGCUAAUGUAGAUCCUACCCUUCCCUCAGGGCUUGCUCAAAUCCAUCUCUCCAGGGAAAGCUUCCACUAGUAAUCUCAUGGAACCAAGCAGUCUUUCCUGUCUUUGAAUUCCCGCGGCAUUCUAAUACUGUUAGAACCUGAUACCAUACGGUCUUAUUUGGUUCUUUGGUAUUUUAUGAAUGUGCAUUUGCCUUCCCAAAUAUAUUAUACUGCCACUUCAGUUUGAAUUCAGUAUUUCAAUAUUGAAUAUUCAAUUCAUAGUCAACUUUAAUUCAAUGUAUUUGAAUCCAUUCAAAUGAAAUAUUUUAUUUUGUCAUUUGAUAUUCACAAAAGCCUUUUGAGAGAGGUACAACAGGAGCCUGCAUUUGGCAGGUGAAUAAAACCAUCAGUUGCCAUGGAGUCGAUUCAGACUCAUGGGGACCCCAUGUGUGUCAGAGUAGAACUGUACUCCAUAGGGUUUUCAAUGGCUGAUUUUUCUUCUGAGGUGCCUCUGGGUGGACUCAAACCUCCAACCUUUUGGUUAGCAGCUGAGCACUUCAGCACUUUGCACCACCCAGGUACACAGCCCUUAAUGUGUAGAAGCUUAUAGUCUGGUCAAGGACAGAAGUUGUGCACAGUGACCUAAAAUAGGUGGCAAUUUAUUUUGUGGUAAGUGGGAAGAAGAAGGUACUCCUGGGUUAGGGAAAGCUUCUCGGGGAGAAGGGGUCAUAGAUGCACUAGAUCUCAACAGAUAAUAUGACUUUGAAAGAUGCAGGAAUAUCUUAUUAGUGAGAGAACAGUUAGAGCAAAAGAAAUAUGGAAGUACAAGCCAUGUUUGGGUAAGGGCAAGUAGGGUAGUUUGGCUGGAGUGGAAAGUUUGUUUAGAGGGGUAGGAAGAAAUAGGUCAGAAACUUUGGUUGGAAUCAAAUGAUGGAAGACUUUGUUUGCCCCACCAACGGCUUUGAUGGGGCAUGAAUGUGUUGAGGGAGUGAGUGAGGUAAUAAAGACCAUGUAGUGGGUAGUUCAGACUGGCAGUAGCCGAAUGCAGCAGGGAGCUACUGAGGAUGAGGAGAAAUAUUAAAGGCUACUGCAAAGGUCCAGCUGAUAGGUGCUUGAACAGGAGUGAUAGAGGUGAGAGGGAAAGGAAUGCAGAU